rnacentral:rRNA from 1 species
AAAAGCUUUCUUUAAUUGAAUAAUUGAAUUUAAUUUUUUAGUGCAAAAGCAAAAAUAAAAAUUAGGGACAAGAAGACCCUAUGAAUUUUUUAUUAAAUUUUAUAAAACUUUAUAUAAAAUUUAAUUUAAUUGGGGUGAUGGAAAAAGAAUAAAUAUCUUUUUUUUAAAAAAAAUUGGUUCCGUUUUUAGCGAUUAAAUGAAAAAAAUACUCUAGGGAUAACAGCGUAAUAAUUUUGGAUAGUUCAUAUAGAUAAAAUAGUUUGCGACCUCGAUGUUGGAUUAGGAUUCUUUUUUGGUGAANAAGUUAAAAAAA